rnacentral:rRNA from 1 species
UACGGAGGGUGCAAGCGUUAUCCGGAUUCACUGGGUUUAAAGGGUGCGUAGGUGGGUUGGUAAGUCAGUGGUGAAAUCCCGAGCCUUAACUUGGGAACUGCCAUUGAUACUAUCAGUCUUGAAUACUGUGGAGGUCAGCAGAAUAUGUCAUGUAGCGGUGAAAUGCUUAGAUAUGACAUAGAAUACCAACUGCGAAGGCAGCUGGCUACACAAAUAUUGACACUGAGGCACGAAAGCGUGGGAUCAAACAGG